GUUGCAGCCUGCAGCCUGGCCAUCCUGCAGGCUGGGAAGCACAGCCCCUGGCAAAAACCAGACGCGAGCACUUCAGAGAAGGAAGGAUGAGACAGGAAUUGAAGCUGAACAGUUUCCAGAUGUGGCUGAAGGCAAACAGUAAUUGCCCGGUUUAAUGGAAGAUGGUUAAGCCUGUGUUGGACAUCUGCUGUCUUUGCCGCCCUAGUCUGCAUUUCCCAGUAUUCUGCCAGCAGAAACCCACAUCUGUACAAGCUCAAAAAAAAAAGAAAAGAAAAAGCCUGGGUGCUUUCUCCUUUGGCACCAGCGAGACAUCCAAACCAUGGAAACCUCUGCCCAUAUGGAAUGCUCACCCUGGUCCCACGGUGAAUCAUAAUAGAGACCCAAGCCAGUCACCUUUCCUGGCCCUCACAAACCAUUUCUGACCUGCUUGAGAGGUCUGCCCGGUUCUCCCAGAGACCUCAAUUAUCCUUUCAGAGCUGGAUGCAUAAGUCAAGCAGCAUCAAUGCCAAUGACCUGUGAGGAAACAUUUAAGAAGGAGACACUACCUCUCUUUUCUGAAGAAUCAAAUCAGUGACUCAUUCUAAUUCUCUUGGGUGUGUGGAAGGAGGAUGAGAGCUUUGAACCUACAGCUACUGUUUAGUAACUACGAGGCGAUGUCCUGAGAUUUCCUACUAGGUCUCUGUCUGAGGAUGUAGUCAGUAUUUGAAAAAAGAACAGAGGGAUAAGGAGAAAAAUCAUCUGUAGCAUGACUCAAGUUGCUGGAUCUAGCCUCACCUGAAGAGAUACAUCUUGGACUUUUCUGUUACAUGACCUGACAUCUUCUCUUUAAAUAUUUUUUGUAGACACAAUUCUUCAUGUGGACUUAUGUAUUAAAUUUUAGCUGAAUC
rnacentral:lncRNA from 1 species